rnacentral:lncRNA from 1 species
AUCAUGAUAAGAUGAGAGAGAGAGACUGGAAGAAAGAAGAAAGCUCUGUAUUUUAGUAACUUCAAUGAUACCUUUUUCCUGCUUUUUGAAAAAGAGGUCCCACAUUUUCAUUUUGAACAAGGAGCCCCACAGUUGUGAGAACAGCCUGACAGAGGGCAUGGAGACUGAGGAUAGGAGGCCCACUCAGAUCCCAGAGUUAUUCAGAGAGGAAGAAACCAAUGCUUUGAAAGGUUGAGCAACCUGUCCACAUCACUUGACCGGCAAGCAGCACAGCCAAUGACCGUGGACCCAUAGACCUCAGCCACCAACUUCUGUGCUGUCCUGCCUGCUAGGUGUAACAUACCUAAUUCUUUUGCCCCUGUCUCCUUGGAUGUCAGGCUCCUCCUGCCCUCCUUGGCCCCUCCCUGUUGGGUGUACAUCCUUCCAGACUGUUUUCCAUGCACUUCGGUGCCAGGAUGAUUAUCAAGAUGCCACUUUCUUUGCCAUCCUUGUAUCCUUCCUCCAGAUAUACAAGGUAGCCAAACCUUUAUGAAUGCAGCAGGGGUUUGCUAACAGCUUUUGGAGAUCAGGCCACACUCUACAUAUAACAAUCCACCAUGUAACUUAGCCAGGAAUUAUUUAUCAACCCCCCUUCUUUGAAGAGGAUGGGGGACACAGAGA